GUCUAUGGCCAUACCACCCUGAACGUGCCUGAUCUCAUCUGACCUUGGCAGCUAAACAGGGCCAGGCCUGCUCAGCACUUGAAUGGCAGAAUUUCCUUCCUUGUUUUGCAGCUGGCACACUUUGAUU
ensembl:rRNA 5S_rRNA 5S ribosomal RNA